CCCUGCCAUUUGUACACACCGCCCGUCGCUACUACCGAUUGAGUGUUUUAGUGAGGCCUCGGGACUGGCUCCUAGAGGUUGUCCAAACCCCUUGGAGCCGGGAACUUGGUCAAACUUGAAUACUUAGAGGAAGU
rnacentral:rRNA from 1 species